rnacentral:lncRNA from 1 species
UGCUAGUAUUGUGCAAUCUUUUCAGAAGGAUACACACAGUAGUGCCCUCCACAGAGCAUUUCAGGGAACCAUGAGGGGACUGAUGAAGGAAGCUAAGGCAGCAGAGGAAUGGAAGCUGUGUCCAAGUUGGCUCCAGGCAGCAGGGGAGAAGACAGCUUGUUGGCUAGUGGAGGAGAGUGGAUGUGAGCUGUUGUUUAUCUCUGCCUUCUGUUACCAGGGCCUCCGUGGAGAAAGGCAAUGUUUCAGAGUCCUCUUCUAUAAACUCUGCCUUUCUCAGUUGUGCCGUCCUCUAGAGGACACCUUCUUUGUUUUCAUGCCCCAUCAAGACUUGGAGGAGGUCUCCCAGAUGCUACUUACAUGGGGUGAGAGAAAGAUGGCCCUCUCGACCUGUGUUGUCCAGUACGGUGGCCAUGAGCCACAGGCGGCUUCUGAGCACUUGAAACGUAACUAGUGGGACUGAGGAAAUGAAUUCUCAGUUUUAAUUAAUUUGAAUAUACUUAAAAACCGAUGGUAGAUUCAGUUAUUGGAAAAUAUUCAAGAACAUUUGUAACAACUUGGGUAUAUGAAUCUACUUUUUAGUCUGCAAAUUUUAUGAAAUCUAAGUAGAGAUCACAUAUUUCUGGUAAAACUUCAGCACUGAAAUUGAGAUGUUGUGUAGUCACAAAAUGUGCACAGGAUUCCAAAG